AUUGAACGCUGGCGGCAGGCCUAACACAUGCAAGUCGAACGGUAACAGGAAACAGCUUGCUGUUUCGCUGACGAGUGGCGGACGGGUGAGUAAUGUCUGGGAAACUGCCUGAUGGAGGGGGAUAACUACUGGAAACGGUAGCUAAUACCGCAUAACGUCGCAAGACCAAAGAGGGGGACCCUCGGGCCUCUUGCCAUCGGAUGUGCCCGGAUGGUCUUCGCUUGUUGGUGGGGUAACGGCUCACCAAGGCGACGAUCCCUAGCUGGUCUGAGAGGAGGACCAGCCACACAGGAACUGAGACACGGUCCAGACUCCUACGGGAGGCAGCAGUGGGGAAUAUUGCACAAUGGGCGCAAGCCUGAUGCAGCCAUGCAGCGUGUAUGAAGAAGGCCUGCGGGUUGUAAAGUACUUUCAGCGGGGAGGAAGGGAGUAAAGUUAAUACCUUUGCUCAUUGACGUUACCCGCAGAAGAAGCACCGGCUAACUCCGU
rnacentral:rRNA from 1 species